UGUUUUUUAACUCUAUUUACAUUGAGUUAUAUACUUAUAAAUGUAUACUCUUUAGUUAACGAUGCUCCUCUUGCUGGGAAUAAAGACAGUAUUGCUGUUCACUCUGGUGGCGACACCUUAUGGAGGAAAAGUGGUGUACAUGAUCUGGAUUUGUGGGCUCUUUGCUGCAUCUCCUCUUAGUUAUGUUUGUAUUCCGGCUGCUGUUGCUGGAGUUUUCGGAACGAAAUACACUGCUGAAAUUUUUGGAAUGGCACAUUUUACGUCAAGAGCUUCUUUCUUUCUCUAGCCUUUAAUUCUCCAUCGUUUUACUUCAUCUUUAGGAUGGUUUGCUACGUUUUCUGUGACAGCGACUGUUUCAUUCAUAGGGAUUCUUGUGACUAUACUUUUCCCUGAAACCCAUCGUACACAACCAUUAAUAUCAACUAGUAUUAAUGGAGACAAAGAACAGAUUCGUUACGGAGCUGUUAAAUAUCAGAAGUGAAUUUCUGAGCAUUUGUCACGUCUCUGUUUGAAUUAUAUCUAUUAAUAGUGUUUCUAAAGUUUUAACACAAAUUCAUUAUUUUUAGAUAUUGUUUAUUAGUUGUAUUUUGUUGUAACUUUACAAAUAACUGAUUUGGUGAUUUACGUAAUAAAACUGCAGGUUGUUUUAGUGUAGUAUUUACUGAACUAGAAAUUUAGGUAUCACAUAUAAAUAUGGUAAUUCUGAA